rnacentral:rRNA from 1 species
UACGAAGGGAGCUAGCGUUGUUCGGAAUCACUGGGCGUAAAGCGCACGUAGGCGGAUGUGUCAGUCAGGGGUGAAAUCCCGGAGCUCAACUUCGGAACUGCCUUUGAUACAGCACGUCUUGAGUCCGAUAGAGGUGGGUGGAAUUCCUAGUGUAGAGGUGAAGUUCGUAGAUAUUAGGAAGAACACCGGUGGCGAAGGCGGCCCACUGGAUCGGUACUGACGCUGAGGUGCGAAAGCGUGGGGAGCGAACAGG